GGCUAACGCUGGCGGCGUGUCUUAGCCAUGCAAGUCGAGCGGACUUAUGGGGUAACUUAUAAGUCAGCGGCGGACGGCGGAGUAACACGUAGCUAACCUACCCUCUGGACGGGGAUAACCUACCGAAAGGUGGGCUAAUACCCGAUGUAGUCAUCCUGUAUAGGGGUGAUGAAAGGUGGGCUUCUGUUUACAAGCUCAUGCUGGAGGAGGGGGCUGCGGCCUAUCAGGUAGUUGGUAGGGUAAUAGCCUACCAAGCCGAUGACGGGUAGCCGGCCUGAGAGGGUGACCGGCCCGAGGGGCACUGAGAUACGGGUCCCACUCCUACGGGAGGCAGCAGGCUAGAAAUUUGGGCAAUGGGGGAAACCCUGACCCAGUGACGCCGCGUGCAGGAAGGAGCCCUUCGGGGUGUAAACUGCUGUCGUGUAGGGAGAAGGGUACUAAGGUGAACAAUCUUAGUACUUGACGGUACUACAGGAGGAAGCCCAGGCUAACCUCGUGCCAGCAGCCGCGGUAAACGCUAACGUAGA
rnacentral:rRNA from 1 species